ensembl:lncRNA
AAGAAGUAGUGAAAUUAAUUAGGCAGUUGAUCAGUCCUGAUGGCAAGGCAAAUCCUUAUAUCAUUUGGCCCAUCCUAAUGGAAGGAAAGAGGUAUAUCCACUGACUACAAAAUAAACCAGUGAUCCAACCAGACUUUGUCCAAAGAUGAUAAAUAUUCAGGCACUAAGAAAAAUGUUAUAUAUAUAUUUAAGUAUCUACAUUUUACAGCAGAUUAAGGGACAUCACAUACUGCUGUAACUAUUGGGCACUUUCUAAGUGUUUCACGGAAUUAAGCUGAAGUGUUCAUAAGCCCAGUUUUUGCUAUUGAAUACUAGCAUAAUAUUUAAAUCCAAAUCUUGUUAUAGUUCCUACCUUUUAAAAAGAUUACUCUUCUUGAUCUUCAUCUGUGUGCAUUGGAAAACUGUUCAUUGUUUUAAUAGAUGUGGCAUAAUAGUAUAAGCUUGGAACAGGAAAUAUAGACACUGCAUUUCUUCUUUAUGUUCAGAGAAGUGUCAAAUUAAUAAUCAUUUUAAAAUGAUAAAGAUAGACCCAUAAUCUCAGAAUUUGCCUAUCCCUGGUUCAGACUUCAAGAUGAUCUCUCUCUUUAUUAUUCUUGCCCUUAAUGAGGGAAGUUUUGUUUUCUGUUUGAUCAGAAUUAUGCUCAAGAUCAAAAGUUUAAUGGAAAACAUGUUCAUACGAAACAUCAUAUUUUGCAAAUUGAAAAUACUAUUUGAUUUCAAAUUGACUUCUGUUUCAUCUUCAGCAAAACUUUUGUGAGAAGAUCCAAAAAUAUUUUGAUAAGUAAGGUAUCAGUAAUGCUACUUUUUUGUUUAUUCCUUACCGUGUAAUCUUCUCAAAAAAUGAAAAGACUGCUAUGUUGGCAUCCUUAUUUGUCACAUCAUAGCAAAUCAGAAUUUAUUUUCCAUUAAAGGUACAUUGAUUUUUCUUCUCAUAUGAAAUGAAUGGAUAAUUAUUACAGUGAAGACAUAUUAGUACAUCCAUUUUCUCCAACUAUUCUGCAAUUUCAAGGCAGAAGUAUUUUAAGAGGCUCUUAGAAAAGUGUUUCAUACUGAUAUUAGUUCAGAGAGGCUUUUGUUGCUGUGAACAGUCAAAAUUUACAAGAGUUUACUUGAUAGUGACAGGUUCUCUUUGUUGGCAAUCUAAGCAGCCAUGUGAUCACAAAAAUAAAUAGGUGAACUCAGUAAAACCUAUUCUGUCUGAUAAUCAUAAUCACUGAAGGCAAGAUGAUCAAUAAUUACGAUCAAAACUUUUUUGGGGAAGAGGGGGAAUGACUUUAGAAAAUGCAUAUUUAAUGAUGUGCGUAAUUACAUGUCUCCUGCAGAAGUGUUGAAAAGCAAUCAAAACUGAAAUCUCAUUUACAGAGUGUAUUGUGAAAUAUAAUUGUUGCCUGAAGGAAAAAAAUAUUUAAGAUGCCACACUUUUCUGGAAUAGUUCUUUUGUAAGAAGAACAGGGAGCAACCUCCAGAGGCACUUGCAAAAUAAAAAUAGAAUGCAAUGAAGAAAUGAUUAUUUUUCAACAAUUUUAGAAAUGACUGAAUUUGGUAGAGAACAAUUUGUGUGGCAGUUUUCUAGUAUGCCUACAAACUCUGCAGCAAUUCAGGACCUGCAUAGUCACUGCUCUGGCUGCUGAGAAACAUGCACUCUCUGUUGUGUGCCCGAUUGUGUGCAGUGCAGCAAAGAUGGACUGGGGUUAUGGGGAAUUACAGACGUAAUAUCAGAAGAUCAUGUUUAUAAGUGCAGAGAGACCAAGAUUAUUACCAGGAUGAAUUCACAGGGAACUCUGGAGUUUUGUAACUAAAUGACACACUAAAGUCUUUGAAACAGUCCACCCUACUUUUUUCAGAUUCUGGAAUAAUGCUGUAGGAGCAGAAGGCUCUGACACUCUGAUAGAUCUUUGAGCAUCUAGCUUUUAAGAUAGUGAGAAAUAAGUGGACACAUCCCUAUUUUCUGAAAGGACAGUGAAGUGUUUUUUCCAUCCUGUGAGUGCUUCCUACCGAAAGUUUCCUUCUUUAUGCUGUUAUGCUAGAUAGAACAAUAUAAAAACAGCCUGAUGUCUGUGAAUAACAAUUGUAAAUAAAAUAUUUUAUAUUUAUAUUUUAUAUUUUAAACUGGAUGUUUGCUUGUAACCUCGCAGCUUUUAAUAAAAUGAUUUUUGCAC